rnacentral:lncRNA from 1 species
CUAAAUCUCAUUUAUUGACUUAACAGUUGAUUUCAAAGUACCUCGUAUGUACCAAGCUCUGGGCAAGGUGCUAGAGGUACAGGAGUUAGGAAACAGAUGUUCCUUCAUCCAGGGAGCUCGCAAUCUGGUGAAGCAUCAUUCCCAGCUCCUCUCUUCUCCUCUGGAAUGUAGGAAGGGCUGCAGGUCUGGCUUGAUCAGGGGAGCUCAGUAUUCCAUACCUCAGUGAAUGCCUGUGCGAAGCUGGACAGAUGACCUCGCCUCGGUGGGGAUCACCUGGAGGGUAACAGCUGCCCACUUGCUCUCAAGGGCGACUGUGGGAUCCAACAGGAGUGGGGUCUUUGCUCUGUGACACCACAUGUGUGGUGUUAUGUACAUCCAGGCCCACGGUGGCCUUCGUGUGACGGUAACUACUGUACCUUCUCAGACAGGAAGGUCAUCCACUCAGCAAAUGUACUCAGGUGGCUAAAGAACUCGUUUCUAUCAGAGCAGUAGGUAUCAAGUGUUUCCUGUGUUCUGGGCUCAGAGCUGGGGCCUAGGGUGGACGUUAGGGGUGCAAAGGAGAUGGGGUGUCUGCUCCCACGAAGCUGACAGCCUAUUGAAGAACAGGCUUUCAACAAUUGGCCUCAAAUAGAGAAUGACUUUUUUUUUUAGUUCUUUGAGACAGGGUCUCACUAGUUCAGGCUGGCCUUGAACUCAGCAAUCCUCCAGCCUCAGCCUCCCAGCUGCUGCGAUUGCAGGCAUGUGACACCACAGCCAGCUUGAGAAUGGCAUGAUGGGUUCCAUGGAGGAAAAGCUGUGAUGAGGCCAGGGCCGCAGAGACCCCGCAGAGUGGUGCUGCGGAUGUAUAUGGAAGCGAGUGCUCAUUCUUCCCCGCAUGCUCUGACGUUUACACGCAGGGGUGGCCUCUGCUUUUCUCCUCCUCAGCCCAGCCCCAAGCUCUUCAAGGCACAGACUGCGCAUGCCCUUGGGUCCCUGAGAGGCCUGCCGGUACCAUCUGGGGACUGCGCUGACCCAAACCCCCUCUCCUGCAGAUGGACAGUAACUUGCAGGGCAGGGACAUCCUGCAGGAGGCCACCCCCUGUCAUUAGGUUGGCACGACACACAGUCCCAGCCCAGGUGACCCUGCUCCCACCCCUGGGGUUGAGAGCUGAGGGCUGGUUGACUCUGCUUCCGAGACUUGGAUCAGCCCAGUGCAGUUCUUCUCGCCACCCCACUAGGUCCCUCUCCUCUGCCUGGAAGCCUCCUCUGCUCCCCAGCCUGUGUAGUGGUUUCGCCCCUUUACCUGCUGUCCUGCAGGCUUGGGGCUGCUGCAGAGGCUCUGGGCCCUUGAAGCCCAAGGUCUGCCUCUUAGAAGCUGUGUGACAGGUGAUAGUGAUUUUUUAACGGGUAUUUCAAAUAAUGUUAAAGCUUUAAAUGUCCUAGUGUUAUUUGAAAUGUAAAGGGACAGUUUGGGUUGGGGAAGUGGAAGUCAAUUUCCAGACACGCUGGUGGGGCAGACGAAGCAUUCCCAGCUCUGACGACAUCAGACUGUAAGGGCCGGGGGGCCCCCGCCACUCCUGUGCCAUUCAGGCUGAGGGUGACUAAGCAGGGAGCUGGGGCAGGGGCCUCUCCAACUCACAGACCAAGUGGCAGAGGGUCUUUUCGGAGAGGAGUCCAAGUUCCUGGGAAAGGAGGAUGUUCCUACCACAGCCCAGCAAGACCCACACCCAGCUCCACCGUGAAAGAUGCGAUUUUGAUGAGGACUCAUUCAGCAGAGCAGACUCCCAGAGCUGGCGAGGAAAUCCAGGGUCCCCAGGCUGGGUGAGGUGCAGAGAGGGAGGAGCAGCAGCCAGUGACCUUCCCAGCAGCCUCUUCCAUCUGCUCUGCAUUAUUAUUAAAGCCCUAAAUCAGCAGUGCUAAAUAGCUCCUGAUUUAGCUUCUGCUGGGAGGGAGAUUUAAAACCAGCAGGACUGCUCACUGUGGGGACCAGGCAGUGACGGAGCUCGUGAGCCUCGGGUGGCUGUCACCGUGAAGGAUGGACGGUGGCAGUGGCCUUACCGCAUGCCCAGGACAAAGACCAACUCUGCAGGAAGGACGCUACUCCAGAGCCAGGCUCGGCUGUCAUGGCCAUGCCCUGCUCACAAGCUGUGGCUGCUGUCACUGUUGCUGGGCGCACCUCAGGUCCUGGUAGGGAACUGCCUCCCACAGCCUUGUCCUCCCAGGCUCCUGGUCCACUGACGAGUGACCUGUGCCAGAAUGGGGCAGUGCAGGUGCUGCAGAGCGAGGAUCAGGAGCACCGGAGCUAUGGAGGGUGGCCAAGGACGGCUUCCUAAAGCAGGUGACGUUUGAAGUGAGACCUGAGAGAUGAGUCAGCCAGGUGAGGAGGAGGCAGCAGGGGAGACCAGCAUGUGCAAAGGCCCUGGGGUUUGUCACCAGGCAGGCUCUGAGGAGGACCUGCUAAAGAGGAGAUGAGACCUCAGCUCGCCCUGGGGAGAUGCUUAGCCUAUUGCAGAAAGCAGCAGGAGGCUGAUGCAGGAGGAUUGCCGCAUGUAUGAAACCAGCCAAGACUACAUAGCCAGACUGAACUAUAUAGCAAGACUCUGUCUCAAAAAAACCUAAGAAUUAAAAAGAAAUGAAAAUACAAGCAGUGAUGCUAAGCUUUGUUCUCCUUUUAAUUACCCACUGGGCAUGUGUCAGCCCAAUGAAGAGACCCUGUUUUUAGCCAAAGCAGCUUUUAAGACCCUGACUGCCUUAGAAGGAAACACAAAUUGAGCUUCUGUGAAGCAACAAGUUAAGGACCCAGGACUUUGUCCUCUGCGGUGAUCCCAACAGUCUCAUCUUAUCUGCUUCGUUCUUGGAGACGCUGUGGCGAGGACACCCGGCUUCGUGGCCUCUCUGGGUUUUGCAGCUGAUCGGCUGGGAGAGUGAGGGUAGAGAAGCAUACAUACCAUGCUUUCCCUGGGUAGCAGGUCCCGAGUUGGGGCCCAAGACUGCCCCUGCCCUUUGGCCCCAGGGGGCCUCUGCCGCUCUCAGCUGGACAGAGCCAUUUGUACCUGAGGACAUGGGUGUCGGAACGGGGGCUGUCAGCUGCUGGCAGAGGAGCCCAGUGGAGGGCUGGUGGGGGAGGGGCUGCAGCACCGCAUGGGAAGCGGAAACUGUGUUUUUUCUGUUUGGGUUUGGUUUCUUGAGACAGGGUCUCACUAUAUACUUCAGGUUGGCCUUGAACUUGGUAUGUAGCCCAGGCUGGCUUCAAACUCACGGCAUUCCUUCUGUUUCUCCCUCCCUAGUACUAGGAUUACAGGCAUGCACCACCAUGCCCAAUUAAGUCAGUAUUUUUACCAAGUUUGCCAAAGUAUUGUAUGCUAUGAACAUGUGCCAUACAAAAGUAUUUGUUAUUAUUUCUUGAAAGUUUCUGAUUUUAUUUAUGUAAUAAAGUAUCUGUAAAUGAACCUCAUAGAGUAAAAAUGGCAGAAUUAUGCUAAUAGUUUGGUUCCAGGGCUUUAGAGAAAUGCAUAAGUAUAGAAAUGCAUGAAGUAUAGAAAUAAAGUACUAAUAUAAUAGUGACAUAUGUAGAGGAAACAGAAAGGGAGACAAGCUACAUGGAGUAAUGGCUCUUCAAUUCCUGUGCAUUAAUCAACAUCAUAUGAUAAAAUGAAUCACAUUUGUACUGUGUUUUAUUUCUUACCAGGCACUUUAACACACAUUCCCAUGCCUGGCUUAGGGACUGUUAUUCAUUGGUCCUUUUAGCUCCAGUAUGCUGUGGUUCUGAGUAUCACGGAAGUCCUUGAGGUCAGCCUAUUUGAGGAUUGACAUGUGCUGCCUCCUUCAGAACAGCGAUGAUGGGGAGGAAGAGUGGGGUAGGGAGGGAGUUGGCUGGGACCCCAGUGAGGGACCCACUCUGCCCAGCACUCUGCCGCUGAGCUCCUGCAUAGCCCUCGAAGCCCCGAUUCAGGCAGUGCUGGCUGUCCAGCUUCACAGUGGGGGACCCAGCCUUGCAAGGUCAGGUCGUUUUAAUUGACCCAGAUCACACAGCAGUCUGGUUAGAGGACCCGGAACUGACCCAGUUCCAUCCUACCCGAGGUCCUGGUGCUGAUUCAUUUCCACCUGCUCAGGGCCUCCCUGUCCGUCUGUCCAUCCUCCCAGCACCUCCUCCUCUGAGACUGUCACACGGGCUAUGAGAAGAAUCCGGCCUCUUUGGGGAAGGCAGGUCACAAGGCAGAAGCUGGGGAUGGGUUUUUAAAUCAGAGCAUUAAAAAAACCUGCUCAACAAGCCGCACGUUUUGCUUUCCUUGUAGGUAGUGAGGAUCAAUUUCCCAAAGAGAAAAAAAAUCAAUUUGUUGGAAUGUGUCUUUCUGGGGGGAAAAAAAAAAAGUCUGGCAUCUGUCAAAUAGGGAAAAAAAGACCCAGAAAAAGAUUUUCUUGGGUCACGCAUGUACCGGGGGUUGCUGACUCAGGCCGUAUGUUCCAUCAUCAUUAACGAGUUGGAAAGCUGUGGCUCCUCACAGGGUUACAGAAGAGGGGUUUGAACAACUCAGCUGGGAAAACCCUCUGCAAAGCAAGCCAUAUGGGGCGGGGGGGGGAGGGGGCUGGGAGCAGCCCUGGUGCAGACCUGGGGCUGGCAGCAUGGAUGAAGGGAAGGUGCUUCAGCGGCAGGCUUCCCUGGUAAACCAUUAUUGGCCUCGGGCUGCAGCUCUUGCUGUUGGACUUGGCUAGGACAGUCCUUGCCUAUUGCUGGAGAGGCACCAGGAUUUUGCCAAAGAGCAUUCAUUUGCUGUUUCACCAUGGGGAAGUUGGGGGGUCACCCCCUACCACACUGCUGUGGCCCAAUUGGAGACAGGCAGGGCCCUGGAGAGGGGAGAGGGCAAAGACCCUUUGCAGAGCCAGACACAUUCAGCCAACAAUUAAAUUUUUUUUGGUACUGGGGAUCGAACUUGGGACCUUGCACAUGCGAGGCAGGUGGCGGCACCACUGAGCUAAAUCCCUGGCCCAAAAAUUUUAAAAAAUUUUAAAAAUGUUUAGUAGUCUAUGUUUAGAGUAUGUAAUGAUUACAUUCCUAGUGGG